rnacentral:snRNA from 1 species
GAAUGUACAAACUAACCUUGAGU